GCCUACGGCCAUACCAGUCUAAAAGUGACAGAUCUCAGAAUUCAUGCAAACUUGGGCCUGCUUAGUACUGGUAUGGGAGACCAACUAGGAACCUCAGGUGCCGUAAGCU
rnacentral:rRNA from 1 species